rnacentral:rRNA from 1 species
AAUAUUGGACAAUGGGCGAAAGCCUGAUCCAGCCAUGCUGCGUGUGUGAAGAAGGUGUUCGGAUUGUAAAGCACUGUAUGAUGGGAGGAAGGGGUUGAAUCUAAUACCGUCAAUCUUUGUCGUUCCCAGCAGUAUACGCACCGGCUAACUCUGUGCCUGCAGCCGCGGGAAUCCAGAGGGUGCAAGCGUUAAGCGGAAUAACUGGGCGUAAAGAGCGCGUAGGUGGUUCAGUAAGAAAGAAGUGAAAUCCCCGGGCUUAACCUGGGAACUGCUUUCAUAACUGCUGAGCUAGAGUACGGUAGAGGGUAGUGGAAUUUCCUGUGUAGCGGUGAAAUGCGUAGAUAUAGGAAGGAACACCAGUGGCGAAGGCGACUACCUGGACUGAUACUGACACUGAGGUGCGAAAGCGUGGGGAGCAAAC